CUCCCCUACCACCAAGGUGGGAGGAAGCCCCCGAUAUAAGGAGAUAAGGACCCUUUAAAGUCCUGAGACAACAGAGUUUAAGGAUCAUGGGGUUCAAAGCUGGGGGCUGAAGACCUGAUGUAAGGACACUGGACUUGUAUUUGUUGGACUCCCUGGCACCCAGCAGAGCAGGGUUGGGGGAAGUAAAUGGCCUGGAUGGAGGGCCGAGCCGUGAGAAGAGGCAGACCACCGCAGGGCUAGAGCUGCUUCGGCAGGAAAGGAAAGCCUGCAACACCAUGCCCCGCCAUAAAAUGGCAUGCCAGCGGUAAGUCCACCCUCCCAUAGUAUCACUGAGAGGCAAUAAACACGGACCCUCAUGACGCCACUUUUACAGAGGUUUCAAUAUAAUCUAGGUGUAUGUGCAGCUAAUGUGCUUUCAUUGUGGGGGCUGAAGCAGUUUGGCUUGCUUACCAUAACUCAUUUUAAGGUAACAGUAAGAUACUGUGUUUAAAACACCUCAAACCAGGCCGAUUUUAAUUUAGAAAGUAACAUUUCAUCCUGAGUACAACAGCACAGCUAGGAGCCACAUGGUAAUUUUGAUUUUUCUAUUAACUGGCAUUUUUAACCUGUUUCUCCUCGGUACUGCCAAUCCUGUAAAGUUGAUUCACUCUCCAGAAUACCUGCAGUCACCUUUCCCCACUAAUCCCCAGCUAAAUGUAAACAUGUAUGGAGUAGCUUUGCCAACCCUCCAGGAUUGUCCGGGAGUCUCCAGGAAUUAAAGAUUAAAUCUUUAAUUCAAGAUUGUCAUUGAUGAAACCUCCAGGAAUACGUCCAACCAAAAUUGGCAACCCUAAUAUGGAGAUGAAACUGGUACAAAAAUACCUUUUCUGGUUGAGUUAGGGAAAAGAAAUAGCCGUUCUUGUAACUGCAGAAGAAAAACUUUUGGUACUGAGCUGUACAUGAUAAGGGGGGAGAAGGGAAGGAUGACUCUUGAAAUAUGGUGCUGCUUUAUGAAACAAUUCGACCCAUUAUUGUUAAGGAUCAAUGAGUUUUUCCAUUAUGAAUUUCUAAUGUCAGCAGUUUAUAACAAGGCUCUAAAGAUAAUGCAUCUUUAGGAAUGAAGGCAUUUUUCCAUUUUGCUGGGGGAAAUAUAAGCUUCUAUAAUUUUUACUCUUAUCAAAUAAAAACAAAACCUGAGCCACAGGAAACUCCUGAAAAAAGCAUUGUUUUAGUUGCAGGACUAUUAUUAAACUCAAUCGGCGAUUCACAGAUAAAAUCUCCAUCCACUGCUUUGAAAAAUGUUUAAAUGCAUGUUUAAAAGGAGAAUAACUUAACCCCUCAAAGACCAGAAUAUUUCAAAUUAAGUGUAAAAGCUC